GGUACCGGGGUGUAGUGGUUAUCACGUCUGCUUUACACGCAGAAGGUCGCCGGCUCGAUCCCGACCAGGACCU
rnacentral:tRNA from 1 species